rnacentral:rRNA from 1 species
UGGGUAACCUGCCUGUAAGACUGGGAUAACUCCGGGAAACCGGGGCUAAUACCGGAUGCUUGAUUGAACCGCAUGGUUCAAUCAUAAAAGGUGGCUUUUAGCUACCACUUGCAGAUGGACCCGCGGCGCAUUAGCUAGUUGGUGAGGUAACGGCUCACCAAGGCGACGAUGCGUAGCCGACCUGAGAGGGUGAUCGGCCACACUGGGACUGAGACACGGCCCAGACUCCUACGGGAGGCAGCAGUAGGGAAUCUUCCGCAAUGGACGAAAGUCUGACGGAGCAACGCCGCGUGAGUGAUGAAGGUUUUCGGAUCGUAAAACUCUGUUGUUAGGGAAGAACAAGUACCGUUCGAAUAGGGCGGCACCUUGACGGUACCUAACCAGAAAGCCACGGCUAACUACGUGCCAGCAGCCGCGGUAAUACGUAGGUGGCAAGCGUUGUCCGGAAUUAUUGGGCGUAAAGCGCGCGCAGGCGGUUUCUUAAGUCUGAUGUGAAAGCCCCCGGCUCAACCGGGGAGGGUCAUUGGAAACUGGGGAACUUGAGUGCAGAAGAGGAGAGUGGAAUUC